rnacentral:misc_RNA from 1 species
UUUCCGUAGGUGAACCUGCGGAAGGAUCAUUAUUGUAUAACCGAGGUGCGAGGGAUGUCGCUGACCCGAAAGGUCGUGCACGUCCGAGUGCCCUCACACACAUCCAUCUCACCCCUAUGUGCACCACCGCGUGGGUCCCCCUUUGGCUUGUUCGGAGGGGGGCUUACGUUUUCACACAAACUUUGUAUGCAGUGUAGAAUGUAUUUUUUGUUUUUGCGAUCACGCAAUCAAUACAACUUUCAACAACGGAUCUCUUGGUUCUG